GGAAAACUAAAAUUCACCUUUCACACAGGUUUGAAGUUGCACAGACCCACAAAGCAGAAAAUAGACACCAUACAGUUUACAUUGUCUUCAGAGUUGUAGUAGAUUACAAACUAUAACCAAUUCAUGAUCAUCUCACACCAUUUCUUCCAUAUAUUAGCAACAUAAAAGUUUGUGCAAUUAUUUAACUAUCAUAAUUCUUCCUCGCCAUCAUCUCCACUAUGAUUUAGUGGGCUCGGUCUCUCAGAACCUCGAUGUCCAUCUCUGUAGGAUCGGUCGCCUGAAUCUCAUAGUGUACUCCAUCGAGCUCUCGUCUGAAUCGGUCCUUCGAUGUUGCGUACAGCAUCUUGGCUCGAAUGCGGGACACAGAGGGAGACCAGGCAAUGAAGAAAAUCUUGCUUUUCUGACAGUUCUCUUGAGUAACAAAGUCAAAAUCAUAGAUAGCAUAUCGGCAAUCAUUUUCAGGCAGAGCAGCUAUGAAAUCAUCAUAACUCUCAGCUGCACCUCCAGUCUUCUCCACCACAACUUCCUUCUUCUUCUCAUCGAUUUUGAAAAUCACGUAACGAAAUAUCUUCUUCCUUUGAAGCUCCAGGAAAGUAACCUUGCAAUGAUCGGCAACACCCAUUCCAGAGGAUGCAUUUGUUGAGAAGGAUCGGAGCAAGGCCAUAUCGAGGAGACGAUGGGGCGUUGAGAAUGAUUUGAUCGGAAUUGAUCGAUUGAUUGAUGUAUUUU
rnacentral:misc_RNA from 1 species